rnacentral:rRNA from 1 species
AAUCAACGCUGGCGGCGUGCCUAACACAUGCAAGUCGAACGAGAAAGUCCCCGCAAGGGGAUGAGUACAGUGGCGAACGGGUGAGUAACACGUGACUAACCUACCUUCCAGUGGGGGAUAACCCCGGGAAACCGGGGCUAAUACCGCAUAACAUCGCUGGGUGCAACUCCUGGCGAUCAAAGGGGUAAGACGCUGGAAGGGGGGGUAGCGGCUGAUUAGCUGGUUGGCGGGGUAACGGCCCACCAAGGCAGGGAUCAGUAGCCGCCCUGAGAGGGCGCACGGCCACACUGGAACUGAAAAACGGUCCAGACUCCUACGGGAGGCAGCAGUGGGGAAGUUUGCGCAAUGGGGGAAACCCUGACGAAGCAACGCCGCGUGGAGGAUGAAGUCCCUUGGGACGUAAACUCCUUUCGACCGGGACGAUAAUGACGGUACCGGUGGAAGAAGCCCCGGCUAACUUCGUGCCAGCAGCCGCCGUAAGAC